AGAGCCGCUCGCAGGGAAUGGUGGGGUCCUGCUGGGGGAGUGAACUGGGCCAAUCAGGCGGGUGCGUAGCGGCGCGGGGGAGGCGGAGCCCCUUCACUCCUCCCUCCGCUCCUUUCCGACCCCGCGCUCACAGGGGAGCCUCACCGCACCGCCGGAUUCCAACACAUCAUGACAUGUCAUUAUCUAGAGCAGUAAUGAACGUUGACCUGUUUUGGAUUAGUUGAUGACAUUUGGAAAUGAUCCAGUAAUACCUGUUACAAAGAAGCUGAGUGUACUCUAUUUGGAGUGAACAGCCCAGAUUGUUCUGAAUUUUCCAAGAUGAUAGAUCCAAUGAUGGACUUAUUUGAUGAUGCCAAUCUUUUUGGUGAAACCUUAGAAGGUUUGUCAGAUGAUGCGUUUGUACAACCAGGACCUGUUUCACUAGUCGAUGAAUUGAACUUGGGUGCAGAAUUUGAACCUUUGCACAUAGACUCACUGAACCAUGUUCAGGGUACUCCAACACAUCAGAAAAUGACUGAUUAUGAACAGUUAAAUCAGUUUGAUUCAAUGAAAUUUCAUCCAGUUAAUCAGUCUUUUGGUAGCCUAGCUGAACAUGUGUUAUCUCCACACCCUCAGUUUAAUUAUUCUCCAGUCCACCCCCAAAACCAACCCAAUGGUUUGUUUCCAGAUGUAGGAGAUGGUAGUGCAAUGUGGGGCCAUCAGACAGCUACUAGCAUUUCAAAUCAAAAUAGGUCUCCUUUUCACCAACAAGGACAUUCUCACUCUAUGCCUCACAAUAAAAGCUUUAUGGCACACCAUGAUUUUGCCUUAUUUCAUUCCAAUGAACAACAAACACAGUGCACUUCACUCACAACAAAACUGAAAUAAUCUUAACACAGGGCAAAGUUCUCUAGGCCAGUCUAAAAAUUUUAUGGAUGUUAAUGUUUUUGGUCCACACAGAGUCAGUGUUAACCACACAGAGUCAGUGUUAACCACCCGCCACAAAUUUCUAAUGCAUCUACUUCACAACAGUCUCUUUUGAUGCAACAAUUUUCGUAAACGCCAAAUCCUUCAGUACACUUCCUCAAGUGUGGCAGUCGUCAGGAAGGAAAUUUUAAUGGACCUUCUCCAAAUAUGACUUCCUGUUCUGUCAGUAAUUCACAGCAGUUUUCUUCCCACUAUUCCUUUUCCAGUAAUCAUGUAUCACCAAACAGUCUUCUCCAGCCCUCUGCAGUUCUUGGACCUAAUCAUACAAAUCAGACUUUACCUGAUUUUCCUGGAAGUAAUUCCUUUUCACUUCGUAGGGGAAUGAAGCAAGAAUCCACUCAGCCUAUGCUAAAUCCCAAUACGUCACUCAAUUCAAAUAAUUUCCAAAUGUUGCAUUCAUCACAUCCUCAGGGUAAUUGCAGCAAUUCAAAAUUAUCUCCUGUGCACAUGAACUUCCCAGAUCCUUUUGAUUCAGGAAGCCAAAUGGUCCAUUUCAGUGAUCAUGUAGGAACUAAUGGCUUUUCAUCUUUAGAAGAGAAUUUACUUCAUCAGGUAGAAUAUCAGACUGAGCCAUUCACAGGACUUGAUCCAGAGGACCUCCUUCAGGAAGAUCUCCUUCCCCAAUUUGAUGAGUCAACAUUUGGGCAAGAUAAUUCAAGUCAUGUUUUAGAUCAUGACCUUGAUCGGCAGUUUACUUCACAUCUUGUAACGUGGCCUUCUGAUUUGGCUCAAACUCAGUUACAUGGUCAGGCUGGUCUUGGCAUUCAUCACUUCCUAAUCAUCAACAUUUACACGACAGAAAUCGCCUUUACUUAAAGAGACAGAACAGUAUGGCUAUUGACACUCCAAGAAUUAGAAAGCAAACAAGACCCUUUAGUGCCAUAAAAGAUGAAUUUGCUGAAUUAUUUGAAGCUGAAAGUGAAGGUGAUGAAAAGCCCAAACUCCGGAGACCCUGUGAUCGUUCCAAUGGCUAUGGAAGAACUGAAUGCUUUAGAGUCGAGAAAAAUCUGCUAGGUUAUGGAUGGGGCCGAUGGAGAGAGAUUCUGUCUCAUGGCCGUUUUAAAAGGCAGCUAAAUGAGGAUGAUGUAGAAAUAAUUUGCCGAGCACUCUUAGCAUUAAUCCCUUAUUCACUAUCGAGGAGAUGAGAAAAUGAAAGGCUUCAUAUGGGAUCUCAUUACUCCAACUGAGGAUGGGCAGACACGAGAGCUACAAAAUCAUCUAGGUCUAUCAGCCCGAGUAUCCAGGGGCCAAAAAGGAAAGAAAACAAGUUCAUUUGAUAUUCAGAAAGCAGAAUCGCUUCGAAAAUAUAAUCCUGAGCAGCUACUUCAAGAUGAAGGCUACAAAAAAACAUAAAACACCACUGUAAUAAGGUUUUGCUUUGUGUAAGAAUGCUCUAUUACGUAAAGCAAGAAGUCACUGGAAGUGAGUGUCAGAAAGUAUUUGGUGGAGUUGAUGCAAGUGACAUUGAUGUUUGGGUCCCAGAACCAGACCACUCAGAAGUUCCUGCUGAAUGGUGGGAUUUUGAUGCUGAUAAGUCACUCCUUAUUGGAGUUUUGAAACAUGGUUAUGAAAAAUAUAACACUAUCCGAGCUGACCCAGCACUGUGCUUUUUGGAAAGAGUGGGAAAACCAGAUGAGAAAGCAGUUGCUGCAGAACAGAGGGCAAAUGAUUUUAUGGAUGGGAACUGACAGGCCCAGAUGGACAAAGAAAUGACCAUACUUUAAACGCGCAAGCAGUUUAAGGACAUCAGAAAAAGUAAUGAGUGACAGUGUACUGACAGUUCACUGGCCUGCCCACUCGCUCUCUCAACACACACUCCUGCAGCUCGAUUUCCUGCAUUUCAGGAGGAAAUCCCCUGCCUCUGGCUUAGAAUAAUCAAUUAUUUUGUUUACGCAAAAUUCUACAUUGUCCUCUAAUAGAGUCCUAUGCUUCUGAAAUUCUCUAUGUUAAAAUAAUGGUCAGAAGUAGUGUGUUUACAAAGCCAAACUCAGUGAUUUCCCAAGAUCAAAUACUCCGUGACAAAUUUUAUCCCCAAAUUCGGGAAAACAAUGAGAAGAAAGCAAAGAUGAAUCCUCGGAGGUCCUCAGAUAAGCUUUUCCUCUCCCAUUUUGCUCACUUUUACAUUUUUUGUAUUCAGAGAAUAAGAGGUGAGUCCUUCUAUGUAUAAUUAAAACACAUGUGAAUUGAAAUUCUCAGGUAAUUAAACUGAGGAGCUCACUGAGCAAUGUUUACUUCUUUGCAAGUUCCGUUCCUCUUCAAGCUGCGCUUUCGGUUUUUUCUUUUUCUUUUCAAUCACAGAGAUUAAAGCAGCCUGAAUUUUACAGUUGCAUCUUGUGCGAGAAGAGGUGAGCAGGGGGAGACAUAGUGGUUUUAGUAAAUAAUGCCCUUUGAUGUCUCCAACUCGAAACCCAUAUUUUGAGAUUCCUGAUGUAUCUAAUAGUAUUUAGAAUAAAAUGUUAAGUGCCAAAGCUGGAGCUGUUUGCAGAGAAAAAUGCCUGUGAAAUGUGGGUGUUAACAUUCAUUUCACAUCUCACCACCGUCUUAGAACAAAGCACUCCCCUUCUCCUCUGUGAAGUUUGUGUGAUGUAUAUGUCCUAUACUCGUGGUGUGUCCACUCUUCUUUUGGCUGCUGACCACAAAAUUAUUAAUAGCUGUUAACCUUG